rnacentral:rRNA from 1 species
UACGUAGGGAGCAAGCGUUGUCCGGAAUCAUUGGGCGUAAAGCGCGCGUAGGUGGCCCCGUAAGUCCGCUGUGAAAGUCAAAGGCUCAACCUUUGAAAGCCGGUGGAUACUGUGGGGCUAGAGUACGGAAGAGGCGAGUGGAAUUCCUGGUGUAGCGGUGGAAAUGCGCAGAUAUCAGGAAGAACACCGAUGGCGAAGGCAGUUCUCUGGGCCGUAACUGACGCUGAGGAGCGAAAGCGUGGGGAGCGAACAGG